CUCUAUCUAUGAUUCUCUGUUUUGCUUGUUAGUUCAUUUUGUAUAUUAAAUAGAUUCCACAAAUGAGUGAAAUCAUAUGGCACUUGUCUUUCUCUAACUGGCUUGUUCCACUCAGCGUAAUGCUCCCCAGGUCACUUCUGCCAUUGCUCGUUUUCAGUGUUAGGGGUACAGCUCAAAGUUCAGGUGGCACAGAUCAGUAAAGAUGACCUGCUGGGGAAAAUAGUUGUUUUUUAUUCUCAUCUUACAGCAUCUUCAAACACAGGACUGCAUGAGAAAUAAAGUAUUUUAAACUUAUACUUUGAGUUGUGAAAAUAAACCAUUUGCCAUUUAUAGCACCUCAUAACACUUUGGAGGUAAAAAGAAUUUAUUCUUUUUACCUACAGAUACUCAUCAGUGUGAUGGUAUGAUAAGGCCUAACUUAGGAUACCAUGAUUAGAAACUCUUCAUGUUAGAAUCUUCCACUUUGGCAGUGAGAUCUCUACCUUACACUUCACCCACCCACACAUUUCACAAAUACUUAUGAAACACCAAGACAUCAGGGGCAGGGGUAGGUCUUUGUAGUGUCAUGAGUGGCUGGAUCAGGUAUACUCUAGAUCCUUCUUCCAGUGGCUGCGUCCUUCAUCCCAAAAAAUGAAUUUUGCUUACAGCCUCCUAAAAAACUACUUUCAACUUAUAUUUUUGCCACCUGAUCAUUACCUCAGAUUGCCAUUAUUCUGAACUAAUUUCACCCAUCAUGGUGAAUUUUAUUAAUUGGCCUGAAUGGUACAGCAUAUCUUUGAGAUACAAGUUAAACAUUCUUCAAGCAUGUACUGUGAUACUGUUGUCUUUCAUUCUGUAAGGAAAGGCUUCCACAAAUCAGCACUAGGGUUAAGAAUUUUCUAAUGUACUAAAAGCUAUUAAUUUAUUUAGAAUUUAGGUGGGCUUGCAAGUGAAGCCUAACAAAUGGUUUUAUAAAUAAACUUUGUCAAGCUUAAUGCAGAUGUUUUCAGUAUAUUUUUUAUUUGGUUUUUGUUUUGUCUCCAUAGUACACAAAGAAUCUUACUGAUUUGAUGACAUUACUUUGCUUUUUAAUUUGGCUUGAUUUUUUUCAAUAUGUAAUACUUUUUCUUUGAGUAAAAUGAAAGUAAAUUUGAAUCAGUGGAAAGUUUUCUUAUUCCAGGCUCAGAAGAUCCUUCUCUUGUUCUAUCGUUCUGUUAAUUUUCAUACCACAUUCACCAUGUGCUCAUGAAAACUACUUAAUAGCCUAGCAGAGAGGUCACAGUUUCUAUAAAUCUAGAAUUUAUUUAAUCUACACUGAUAGCUCAUAGAGUAUUCAUUAAGUUGAAAGUGCUUGUUAGAGUGAUACAAAGACACCAUAAACAAAGAUGUCAGACAGUCAACACGAGAAGCUGUUUUUACUAGUUAUGUUACAGAUAAAGAGUUAAUAUGUGUAAUACACUAAAAGUUCUUAUAGAUGAAUAAAUUGAACACCCCAAUAAAAAAUAGUAGCUUAUACACAAUCUUACAUGUACAUGGAUGUUUGUUUAGAGAUAGAGAUAAACUAAUCAAUGGUUAUCCCUAAGCAAUGAUAUAACAGAAUUUCAUUUUGUACUUUGUACAUUUUUAUAUUGUUUAAAUUUUAUAGGUGUGUAUUGCUUUUUUAAUCACAAAAGUAUAAAAAUAAUAAAAAGCAAAAACCAAACUUUUGCUAGGGCCCUAACUUCAUUAGGUCAGGCUGUCUCGGGGAUAGCUCGGACCAGUGCGCCCACCCUGCGGUCUACUGCACAGUGCUUGGCGGCCCCGCGGGUGCUUCUCUAAAACUCUGUCAGUCUGUGUUUACUGUAUUCAGUAUGUGAAACAAACAAAAA